UAUAUCUGAAAUCCAUAACGUCGACGUGGAUUCAUGUCACUCUCUCUGGUGGGGUCCUACCAAAAUCCCGCUAUAGGAUAAAGAGAGAGAAUCUAUUCUCUUUUCUAUAGAGAAUAGCGGCGGAGCGCCGUGAUAGAUAGGGGCAUGACUUGCUUGCUUGGCUAUUUUUUGUUCCUAACCGCUUGCUUUAUUUGAACGGGAAAGAGCUUUGCUUGCUCCGUGUUUUUGGUUCUCCGGAGCAGGGCUCUUCUGCGGUUUUUGACUUUUGUUUUGGGGAUAGUACCUAACUCACAGGCUCUGGGUUCCUUGCGGCGCUGCCUCAUGCUUGCGCUUGCUUGAAUGCCAGUACGUUAGGUUACUAGAAUAGGCGGUUGGCUGCUGCGCUACAGAUUUCACCGGAAGGUUCUUUUCCUUUGCUUGCAGAAGUGACCCUGCUUGCUAUUCUAUCACUCCUCGCUCGGCCUUUACUUGAUAGGGCUCCUUCACCAGGAUCAAUAGCCCAGCUACACUACCACUACCCGUGAGAUAGAAGUAGGGCACUUCACUCACCUUAGAGUGAGUGAGGUGAUUACAGAAAAGUAGUGUAGUCCGCACUUGAGAAUUCUUUAAAGAAUUAGCUGCUAUUUCGGUGGUUGAAGUGCCGGUCGGCAUUGCCUAAGUAACGUCCGGCUCUGUUUGCGCGCUUCUCUCCAUCCGUUGAGUCGGUGGAAGGCUACUUGACCUAGCCUUCAGAGAAGAAUCAAGUCAGAGAAGCCGGUGCAGCAAGCCGAUCCGACAUACGUUCAAACGCAUGCACCUUUCGACUACUUCUCUCUCGGGGCGCGCCAUCCAAACUCGCUGUGAUGGAUGAACGCGGAUAGAACAAAUCUAUCUCGGCGUAGUGAGUAAUAAAAAUUCCUGACGUAUUUCUUUCUUGAUUUCUUUUUUCUUUCUUUAUGGAAAAUAUCAAACCCAUUUCUGAGACCCAUAAUAUGAAUUUAUGAAAGAUAGAUAGAAAGAAAAAAAGCUGCCUUGCGGGAGAGAGAGACCUGACGCAUAGCCGGCGCACAAGAUCCAAUCUUUUUUGCAGUUCUUAGAGAAGUGAAUUCCAAAACACCACAAUUAAGCAAGCCCUUCGAGCUUGCCUCACUUCCAUGCAUGCGAUAGCUUGUCCCAACCAAAACUUGCCGCUUCUAUCAAUCAAUGCACACAAAUAUGCUUGCUUGGACAGACACAAACAUAUGCUUGCCCCUACGUAACUAGAGCCCUGUAGGUCCUCCUAUAUAGGGCUAGGUUUCAACACCAUUCACUGGUAAGGCCCCACAUGUAGCAUUCCCGACGGCGGCUAUCCCGAGCUAGCCAUCCAUAGUUGUAAGCCUCCCUUACCCCACCACCCUCACUGAAAUUCAAUUCAAUGAAAGGCAGACCCCAUAGAAGUAAGCCUGAGCCAGCUCAAUGAAGACUUCUCAAAUACCCUCUAGCCAGACCGCAUAAAGAUACAGAACAAAAAAUUCGUGCUCAACCAACCCGUCUCAAUCCAUGUCAAUCAUCAACCAAGGCCCGCACCAGCUCUCAUUACCAUCCCUCUUCAACCUACCCCAACACCUAUUCCCAUUACCACGCCUCCACAGAACCCUCAGAACCACGCACCAGCCACCAUCACUAUCCCUAAACCUUCACCUAUCGUUAUCUCAACCCCACCCUUUUC
rnacentral:lncRNA from 1 species